GGGAGUAUAAGAGAAAGAUAAUACAGUAAAGAAAGAGAGAGAGUUAUGGGCUGACCACCAAUCUUUACGGCGGAUUGACGGUGGCGCAACGGUGGUGACAUCACAAUCCGGCGUGUACGCUUCAACAACUCGCUAACCGCAGGACGAGGGUUCCAUCAGUGAUGUCGGUGGUACAUGCGAUGGUGGUUCUAUUCCCAUGGUCAAGAUGGUGUACGAGGUCGACCGAAGGCGGCGGCGAAAACUGGAACUAGGGUUCCGGCUAGUUACCACAUCGCACAGCCGAUCUGGCUUCAAGAUGAUAACCCGACAACAUGCAAUGACCACAUAAUAAGGUUCCGCCGCAAACACAACCAUAGCGACGAGUAUGGUUGUUCUUCCGUGACAUUGGAAGCCAAUCCAGCCGAACGAGAUACGUAUUCUAACGAACGAGAUCUAACUCAAUAGAAACACUUUCACUUGACCUUACACAUUCUUAAUGAAGACAUUGAGCAUCCUGUUGAGCGCUCAAAAACAAGACCACUGCUCAAGGAGUCGACGGAUUCUGGUCAACUGGUCUGAAUAGCUUUCUUUCUAUUUCAUAUGUAAAGCUAUUAUUAUUUCGUUUGUAUUUUUUGUUCAUCUUUGUCAAUGAUAUCUAAAAGUGCCCCUGAACAUGUACAACUAAUCCAAUGUGGGGUCCUGUAAACUUUGUGUGUCCGCAUACCGUGAGGCCGAGUUUGAGACCAUUAUCUAUGGCAUUUUCCAGUCUCAAUUCAUAUGUUUGGUGAUGUGAAUUAACGGUUGGAGGAUGUACGACUUGAUCCUAAAUUCAAUACUAUUUUUGGCAGUUGGAAUUUGGUUUAUAGGUAUUUUUAUUCCGAGUGUGGACAGAUACAAUGAAGACAACGAGCAUCAUGAGCGCUCAAACACAAGACCACUGCUUGAGCGAAUGCCGCCAAACAUACCAGCUUAAAUACAUGUGCUUCAGUUUUGUUAUGGGUGUGGAAGUGCAUAUAUAAACACUCACAUGUGUGCUUCCGUUUAACGUUUUUGUUAGUAGCAAGUUGUUUGCUAAUAAAUUCGAAAAAUCAUUUGGACAACCAUUCGGACAGGUACAAGUUUAUACCUUUUUUUAUGAAAAUGUUCUACAUGUACACUAACUAGAUAUUUAGGCAUAAGUAUCACAUGGUUUUUUGAUGCCUUUGGAAACCAGUA